ensembl:ncRNA C34B4.9 ncRNA
UGCUGUACACAUGACCGAUCCAUCUCUUUUUCAAUUCUUUCCUACUAAUUGCAUAUGAAAAAUGAAAAGGAAAAUGUGGAAUUGAAUGAGAAAUGUAAACAGAAUAUUUCAUGGUGGUGGAGGAGGUCGGCGCCACGGCACCAAUGUGUAAUUGGAGCC